CCUACGGGAGGCAGCAGUGGGGAAUAUUGGACAAUGGGGGGAACCCUGAUCCAGCCAUGCCGCGUGUGUGAAGAAGGCCCUCGGGUUGUAAAGCACUUUCAGUGAGGAAGAACGCCUGGUGGUUAAUACCCAUCAGGAAAGACAUCACUCACAGAAGAAGCACCGGCUAACUCCGUGCCAGCAGCCGCGGUAAUACGGAGGGUGCGAGCGUUAAUCGGAAUUACUGGGCGUAAAGCGCGCGUAGGUGGCUUGAUAAGCCGGUUGUGAAAGCCCCGGGCUCAACCUGGGAACGGCAUCCGGAACUGUCAAGCUAGAGUGCAGGAGAGGAAGGUAGAAUUCCCGGUGUAGCGGUGAAAUGCGUAGAGAUCGGGAGGAAUACCAGUGGCGAAGGCGGCCUUCUGGACUGACACUGACACUGAGGUGCGAAAGCGUGCGUAGCAAACAGGAUUAGAUACCCUUGUAGUC
rnacentral:rRNA from 1 species